GUCUUUUUGAUUAUAAUUUAAAGUCUAAUCUGCCCAAUGAAUGAUUUUUUAAUGGCCGCAGUAUAUUGACUGUGCAAAGGUAGCAUAGUAAUUAGUCUUUUAAUUAAAGGCUGGAAUGAAAGAUUGAACGAGAUAAAUUCUGUCUCAUUUGAAUUUUUAUUAAAAUUUAAUUUUUAAGUUAAAAAGCUUAAAUUUUAUUAAAGGACGAGAAGACCCUAUAGAACUUUAUAUUUAUUAAAAUUUUUUAUUUAAAAUAAUAUAUUAUUAUAUAAUUUUUAAUAAAUAUUUUAUUGGGGCGAUAAGAAAAUUUAAAUAACUUUUAUAUUUUAUUUUACAUUAAUUAAUGAAAUUUUGAUCCUUUUUUUAAGAUUAUUAGAUUAAGUUACCUUAGGGAUAACAGCGUUAUUUUUUUUAAAGUUCAUAUUAAUAAAAAAGAUUGCGACCUCGAUGUUGGAUUAAAAUUAAUUUUAGGUGCAGAAGCUUAAUAGAUUAGGUCUGUUCGACCUUUAAAUUUUUACA
rnacentral:rRNA from 1 species